rnacentral:rRNA from 1 species
AGUAUUAAAGGUCCUGCCUGCCCAGUGAAACUCAUUUUUAAACGGCCGCGGUAUUCUAACCGUGCAAAGGUAGCGUAAUCAUUUGUCUUUUAAAUAAAGACCUGUAUGAACGGCUAAAUGAGGACAAGCCUGUCUCCUACAACCCAUCAGUGAAACUGAUCUCUCAGUCCAAAAGCUGAGAUAUUUACAUAAGACGAGAAGACCCUGUGGAGCUUAAAACCUACUACUAAUAAAACUAAAUUUUUAACUAGUACAGAUUUUAAGUUGGGGCGACUUCGGAACAAAACAAAACUUCCGAGCACAGAACCACCAAUUCUAACUUAGGCCAACAAGCCAAAGUACAAACUUGACCCAGUCUCACUGAUCAACGAACCAAGUUACCCCAGGGAUAACAGCGCUAUCUUCUUCAAGAGUCCAUAUCGACAAGAAGGUUUACGACCUCGAUGUUGGAUCAGGACACCCCAAUGGUGCAGCCGCUAUUAAAGGUUCGUUUGU